rnacentral:lncRNA from 1 species
CUAAACUAGCCUCUCAUAGCUAGCAAAGUAGAACACGAAUCCAUUGAAAAGAACAUGAAUUACAAGCUGAUUCUUGGAAGGUAAAGUUCUUCGAGUCGUCUGAUUUCCCUUCUCCCAACUAGCCGAAUUUACUAGCUGCUACUCUAGCUCCUUGAUCGAAUUUGCUGGGCCAAUUUUAGAAAAUUCUGCUCACUUGAACCACGCCUUUCCUAUGCUGCUGAAUAUUUUCCUCUGUUUCUUCUCCCCCUAUUUUUCAGCUGCUGUCAUCUCUAUUUAUGGGAUAAUAACCUCCCACAAUUCAAAAUUAAUUCUGAUCUUAUCCCCUUUUUCUUAGCCUCACCCGUCGCAUGAAAAUAGCUUCAGCUUAGAAGAGUUUUAAUUUAACUCUUCAAAGCUGAUUUGGCUUCCAAUUGAUUGAACUAAAAUCAGCCACCGCUUGGUAAGAAGGAAAUAAUAAUUCCCUUUUUAAGUUUGUCACAUGUUUGGCUUCCAAUUGGACCGACUACUCCUCCUUUAUUUGUUUAAUUCAUUCGGCCUGCUGUACAUCCACUUUGGACCGAAUUUCCUUCUUUGUUUUAUUGUCAAUUCAAUUUCUUUAAAUCAACAUCUGACCACCCUCUUCUAGCAGCCUUAUUUAUGCGAAUUAUCCUCCCAAUUUGAGCUUGUACGGGCAUCAACCUGCACAUGAAAUAAAAUUAAAAUUAAAUUGUUGAAUUGGAGUGCAAUUAAAUUAUUACGGCAUAGAGUGUCUCUAAUCAAUUCA